GACGUAGGGCGCGAGCGUUGUCCGGAUUUAUUGGGCGUAAAGAGCUCGUAGGCGGCUUGUCGCGUCGAAUGUGAAAACUCGGGGCUCAACCCCGAGCUUGCAUUCGAUACGGGCAGGCUAGAGUUCGGUAGGGAGGACUGGAAUUCCUGGUGUAGCGGUGAAAUGCGCAGAUAUCAGGAGGAACACCGGUGGCGAAGGCGGGUCUCUGGGCCGAUACUGACGCUGAGGAGCGAAGCAUGGGAGCGAACAGG
rnacentral:rRNA from 1 species